ACAUGCAAGUCGAACGAAUAGCAAUACUUAGUGGCAGACGGGUGAGUAACAUGUAGGUAUCUUCCCUUUGGUGAGGAAUAACACGAGGAAACUUGUGCUAAUACCUCAUAAGUCUUUACGGAGAAAGCUUUAUGCGCCGAAGGAUGAGCCUGCACUUGAUUAGUUUGUUGGUGGGGUAAUGGCCUACCAAGACUUUGAUCUAUAGCUGAUCUGAGAGGAUGAUCAGCCACAUUGGGACUGAGACAGGCCCAAACUCCUACGGGAGGCAGCAGUAGGGAAUAUUGCACAAUGGAGGAAACUCUGAUGCAGCGAUGCCGCGUGAGUGAAGAAGGCCCUUGGGUUGUAAAGCUCUUUCGUCGGGGAAGAAAAUGACUGUACCCGAAUAAGAAGGUCCGGCUA
rnacentral:rRNA from 1 species